GGGUAGGUGACAAGAUACUGGGUGAUUCCUAAGUCUUGGUGUGCAGAGGUAUCACGUAUGUAGGUGGAGCUGCAGCACCCAGUGGUAUAAUCGAGGUGCGCACAAGUUAGCUUGGACAAUGCAGUAAAAUAGAAAAAAAAAUGAAAAUACUGUGCAUAUCAAUUUCUAACUGUACUAAAGUAACACUGGGAAAAUUUAAAGAAGUAGCAAUAAAAGUAUACUGAUAGUUCGGUGUAUGUAUUUUCCUUUUCUCACACAGUUACAUUUAGUCAAUAUAUCUGGCAAUCAAAGUUUACUGUCCAAGUUUCGCAAACUUUGUAACUAAGAGAAAUUUUACCAAAGGAAAACAAGAAAUCAGUAGAUUGGUCAGGUAAUUUGGUAGUUGAAAGUACUCUAAACAACCUUAAGUAGAUACUUUAGCUUCCAAAUACAGAGAAAGACCUCUGAACUUCUUUGAGAAAAUAUUUAGAAUUUUUUGCAUUUGAAGAUGAAGCAGAAUAAUUUGAAGAUGAUGAAAUCGAAGAACUCUUCAGUGAAAGUGACUUGCUUGUGAUAGCUUCUCUGUCCUCCUCCUUGAUGGUUUCUAACCUUUUUGAGGCUCGGUGUCUCAUGACAUUUAUGAACUGUGGUGGUGCGACCUCUGUAACAAACCUAGCAAUACGAGCAUUUGCCAUCUUCUUAGUAGGUUUUGGGAGAGACUGCAGUUGCAGGAAAGGUCCAAGAUGCUUUGGUGGAACUGUAGAAGUAAUGUUUAAGAAGGUGGGUUGUAUGACUUAAAAACCACAAAAGGGAUAAGAUUUAUAGGGUUGUUGAUUGAAUUAUCCCUAUAUGGUAUCGUUUAAAUUGAAUCGGUCGUCUUAAUCGAGGUUUUAAUUAUUUUUAGAUGUUAGUGCCGCAACUUGCUUUUAGUCUUAAUUGAACAACAUGACUUAAAUAUGCGGUAUUUGUUGCCAUUGAAAGCUUCCAAAUUUGAACUUUUCGUUGUUGAGCUGGAACCUGCUGAUUGAAUGCCACAUGCCCUUUCUGCGUUUAGUGAUUCACAGCAUAUGAACAAUUAUUGUGAUUGGUUGUGUGCACGUAACGGACUGUUGCACACUUGCACUAGAGGCAUUUUCAUCUUUAUGUAAUUUUAGUUGGUAACUUGGUAUGUUUGCUCGGACUAUUCAAACAUGUUGACGGGUGUGUGUCGGAUCCUCCAAAAAUAGUGUAUUUUUGAAGGAUCCGACACGGGUGCGGCAACUUUUUGGAGAGUCCGAGCAACUUAUACUGACUUGAUUAGCGUCUCUUAAUCCCUUUAUGUGGGGGUUAUCUUCUAGACUUGUUUAUUCCCUGCAGAAUAUUUAUAAAAUCUAUAUUUCAGGCAUUACUUGUCACUAUUGUAACAUAAUGUUAUCUUCCAUGUCGUAAAUUGUUUGUAUGGAGAAUCUUUAGUGAAUGUCAUGUUAACCUUAAUGAUACAGUUCAACUCGUGCUGCUCUGGCUUUUACUAUAGCCACUUAGUCAACGUGUAACCUGGUAAUUUACGAAGCUACCAGAUUCUGAUAAAUCCAUGUUGGUUCAUGGAAGUAGAAGGUAAGAGAGUGAGUCAGUUGCAUCUGAACAGUCCCUAAUAUAUGUGAUAAUAUGCUAAUGCGCAGAACAACAGGUAUGGGAAUGCCUGUAAAGAUGAGAGGGUAACUCCAGAGAGUCGAGAGGAUGAUACCAAAAGGAGGAAUAAGGACACGGGGGUUAUGGUGCUGAUGUCUCGUGAACCAGACAACGGCACCAAGGAAAGAGGAAUCUGGCCGGGGAGUCGAAAUCGGGGAAAGAGAAGGAGGAGAAGGGAUUUUAACCUUAAUAAUGCAAGAUUUUAGCAGAUUAACAAAAAUAAUAUAAAGUUUUAAACAAUAUCAAAAACAGACCAAACUCAUUUGCCAGUAAUGUUUUUGACAUUUGCUUCUGAAAAAUGACUGAUCAGGAUAUAUUUAUCUUUCCAAAAAUGAUAAAUAAUUAUAUGAAUAUCAAUUUUGUCAGAAAAAAUUCUCAAAUUUGUGGUAAAAAAGGAAAACAUUCUGAUUAUCGCUGUUGUUGCUAGUUAUGGAGAUGAAAGCUAUGUGAUUCUGCUAGCUGUGUUUUUUUUUUUUCCUGUAGAUAGUGUAGAUAGGUGAAGAUGAAAGGUAAGAAAAAAAAGCAAAAUGUGCUAAGAAUGGUGGUGGAAGUGGAAUGAAUCCACUAGUGCAAAUUAACAAUGGAAAUAUGUAAUAAUAUAGAUGUUGUGUGAUUCGAGUGCGACUUAAAUGAAACAAGAUUACGGGACAGGUAAUAAACACAACUUGGAAAACAAAAUGUAACUCAGGAAUCAGGAUUAUGUAAAGUUUUAUUAACGGCGCUAAAAGAAGCGAUACUCUCCGUCUAGAGAAAUUUUUAGCUGGAUGGUAAAACGUUACAACAGAGUAUGUUUAUGCAUGGUAAUUUUCACAAACACUGUAUUAUAUAAAUUAAAAAUUCAGAGGGUGAAUUCCUGAUAGCAAGGAAACAGAGGUCGGAGCAGAGAGGAAAGAAGGAACUUUUUAUGGAAGGAAGAAUAAGCCUCAAAAGGGGUAGACUUGGUGUGUGUGUGGGGUGGGGGUUGGGGGAAGGAGGAUACAGAAGCGGAGAAAAACUAAAGAUCCUAGGGUACUAGACUAACCGAGGAAAAAUACAGAGGGGGUUUCUUGCGGUUUGGAGGAAGGCACCAGUUUGAACAAUAGGAAGAACUGCUGGGCACAAGAUUAGUAAGCGUUAUGUUCUACGAAAGGGGAGCAAUAGCGUUUUUCAAUGUUAAGUUGCUCAAUUGUUUGUUUUAGUAUGAAUGCUACUUCUCCCAUUUUGUUGUGAUUAGAUGUAUUUAAAUUCACUGUGCCGUAUUGUGUUCUCGUACGCUUGUGUUGCCCGUCCUUAAUGCCUGUUUUGUAGAAUAACAUAUAUUAUCGAUAUAUAAAAAGAAACAGAAAACGAAUGUACAUAACAAUUUCAUAGCCGUACUGAAGCAACUUUGGUAAUAUUUACAGAAAAUUGCAUGAUAGUCCGGAGGAGGAAUUUUCAUCAUCCCACAGAGGUUACAUAGAGGCAAUAUUUAUCUAGUCUCAGCAAAGCUUGGACUCCGUCCAAAGCUUCUCGGACUUUCUUACUAAGAACG
rnacentral:lncRNA from 1 species